GAUGGACGCUGGCGGCGUGCCUAAUACAUGCAAGUCGAGCGAAUGGAUUAAGAGCUUGCUCUUAUGAAGUUAGCGGCGGACAGGUGAGUAACACGUGGGUAACCUGCCCAUAAGACUGGGAUAACUCCGGGAAACCGGGGCUAAUACCGGAUAACAUUUUGAACCGCAUGGUUCGAAAUUGAAAGGCGGCUUCGGCUGUCACUUAUGGAUGGACCCGCGUCGCAUUAGCUAGGUGGUGAGGUAACGGCUCACCAAGGCAACGAUGCGUAGCCGGCCUGAGAGGGUGCACGGCCCCACGGGAACUGCGACACGGCCCACACUCGUACGUAAAGCAGCAGUAGUGAAUCUUCCGCAGUGGACGAAAGUCUGACGGAGCAACGCCGCGUGAGUGAUGAAGGCUUUCGGGUCGUAAAACUCUGUUGUUAAGGAAGAACAAGUGCUAGUAGAAUAAGCUGGCUCCUUGACGGUACCUAACCAGAAAGCCACGGCUAACUGCGUGCCAGCAGCCGCAGUAA
rnacentral:rRNA from 1 species